GUGGGGAAUAUUGGACAAUGGGGGGAACCCUGAUCCAGCCAUGCCGCGUGUGUGAAGAAGGCCUUUUGGUUGUAAAGCACUUUAAGCGAGGAGGAGGCUACCGAGAUUAAUACUCUUGGAUAGUGGACGUUACUCGCAGAAUAAGCACCGGCUAACUCUGUGCCAGCAGCCGCGGUAAUACAGAGGGUGCAAGCGUUAAUCGGAUUUACUGGGCGUAAAGCGCGCGUAGGUGGCCAAUUAAGUCAAAUGUGAAAUCCCCGAGCUUAACUUGGGAAUUGCAUUCGAUACUGGUUGGCUAGAGUAUGGGAGAGGAUGGUAGAAUUCCAGGUGUAGCGGUGAAAUGCGUAGAGAUCUGGAGGAAUACCGAUGGCGAAGGCAGCCAUCUGGCCUAAUACUGACACUGAGGUGCGAAAGCAUGGGGAGCUAACAGGAUUAGAAACCCCGGUAGUCC
rnacentral:rRNA from 1 species